AGUGAACGCUGGCGGUAGGCCUAACACAUGCAAGUCGAACGGCAGCACAGUAAGAGCUUGCUCUUACGGGUGGCGAGUGGCGGACGGGUGAGGAAUACAUCGGAAUCUACUUUUUCGUGGGGGAUAACGUAGGGAAACUUACGCUAAUACCGCAUACGACCUACGGGUGAAAGCAGGGGAUCUUCGGACCUUGCGCGAUUGAAUGAGCCGAUGUCGGAUUAGCUAGUUGGCGGGGUAAAGGCCCACCAAGGCGACGAUCCGUAGCUGGUCUGAGAGGAUGAUCAGCCACACUGGAACUGAGACACGGUCCAGACUACUACGGGAGGCAGCAGUGGGGAAUAUUGGACAAUGGGCGCAAGCCUGAUCCAGCCAUACCGCGUGAGUGAAGAAGGCCUUCGGGUUGUAAAGCCCUUUUGUUGGGAAAGAAAAGCAGCAGGUUAAUACCCCGCUGUUCUGACGGUACCCAAAGAAUAAGCACCGGCUAACUUCGUG
rnacentral:rRNA from 1 species